ACAAACAAAAGUGACUGCUAGAUGGAGAGACCUUGACCACAGCCUGCUCUUCAAGUGUCAUGCUCUACUCCAGCCUGAAGGCCUGGCAGCGGGAAGAGACAAGUGCGUCCGUCCCGACUCUGAGUAGCUGUAGACCUUUACCCUCAUGGCUCCUGUGGCUGCAGGCAGGAGGCCAGGGUCCACAUGGAGCUGUUCGCCGACAUUGCUUUUGUCCACGAUAGCCUUCGCUUGGAAAAUGAAUGUUUAUGCUGUGAGCGUAAAGUACUUGUAACUACAAGCCACAUCUUCGCCACAUCUCACCGUCUAUAUUAACGCGCCUUUGCUAUUCCACUGUUCUGGUUAGUAUUACUUUACUUUUCCAGGCAUUUUCUCGCCCAGGCAAAUGGUUUCAUUGUUCAUUAUAGAAACUUCCUGGAAGAUCCAGUGACUCUUCAAUGUGGCGAGCAUCAAGAGGUCGUUUGCACCCUAAGAAUCUUUGAAUCGCUGCCUCCACUGCCUCACCUUGCUGUUCCUAGCCAAUCCUGGAGGGUUGUAUUGCCAUCUGUCCCCAGUCCUGGUGCAGCCCCUGCUAUGCAAAGCCUGCCUUGAACUGAACUUCUCAAUAAAUUCUGACCUUGCCUUCCUCUAAGAUGCUGCCCGCAGCUCUGCCGAGGCGAUGUUCUCCCUGACCGCCACCAGCAAUAAACUCAGCUUUCUCUU